rnacentral:tRNA from 1 species
AAAAGGGUAGCCUAGUGGACAUAGCACCUGCCCGGUAAGCAGAAGGUUGUGGGUUCGAUUCCCGCCCCUGGUCACUUUUA